ACCCAGACAGGUGUUUUUGCAGGAGGGUUCUACCACCGGUUCAUCAAUUCCUCGGCAGCAACAACAACAACUUUUUUGUGCAGAAGCAUCUGAUACCAACUCGACAAAUGUUCUUCAUUUGCCAAAAGGUGAUGCCCAGAAUUUUGAAACCCCGGCGGUCACGCGGCCUCCUUCUCCACUGGCCAGGAGCCGUAAGCGUCACUUGGGGGUUCGGGACCAUGAGAUACUAGCUAGGCUCAAGGCUCGUCUUACCAAAAAGGGGGAUGAUAUCAUCAUGCGACUUGUUGAGCGUGCUAGGGAACAAGUUAGUUAAUUUAAACAUGCACUUGCUCGAUCUUUUUAAUUCUGUCAUCACUUAUGAUUCAUGUUCUUUUUUCCUUCUUUAGAUUGAAUCUUUUGUUUAUGGUCGAUAUGUUCUAUGAACCAUCCGACUCUGAGGAAGAAAGCAUUGAUCCUUCUAGUUACGGGGGAGUACCCUAGCUACUUAUAUUUAGGAGCUAAAUCCAAUGUCAAAGCUGAUGACGAAAUGAUCCGCUCGAAGAAGAGAUGUUUAGGUGGCUUGUCAGUGAUCUUUACAACCCUAAGAGGCCUCUAGGUUCUUACAUCGUUUUCAUGGAGGAGUUUAACAAGCAGUACCUGGAGGUGAAUACAAACAUCAAAUCUUUUGACGCCAUCGAGAAGUUGGUGGAGGCAAGUGGAAACAGAUGUCAGAUGCUGAGAAAGCUCCUUAUAUAGCAGAGGCACAGAAUAGGAGGGUCGAAUAUGCAAAGAUCUUGAACUCUUAUAACCCGCUGAUGGCUGCCGAAGAAGAGUGACAAGUCAAGAUCCGAGGUUGCUCCAUCCAAAGAUGGGGAGAAUCCUUGCUACGCACAUUUAGUUUCCUCAUGAAGGAGAAAAAUCCCAUGCCAAAGCUAAUUAUGUAUUCCGCACGAUGAAGAAAGAUCGGGAACUAAAAAGGUUACCUAGGAGGCCUGCAAGUGCUUACUUCAUUUUCAUGGAGGAUUUUAGAAACCAGUUACAUGACAAGCAUCAAAUCUAUCGCUGCUGCCAGGAAAGCCGGUGGAAGAAGAUGUCAGAUGCUGAGAAAGCUCCUUAUAUAGCGGAGGAAGAGAAAAGGAAGCUAGAGCAUGCAAAGAUAAUGAAUGCAUAUAACAGGCGAGUGGCUGCCGAAGAAGAGGAAUAUUCUGAUGAGUCAAGUUCCGAGUUUGAUGAUGAAGAGGGAAGUGGAGAGGAAGACGAAGAUGACCACUUGUAUACUUUCUUCUUUCCUCGUUAGGAGAUACUUUGUUCAACUUUUUGGGGGUUUCAUGAAAAAAGAUGAAAUUGAGCAGGUAAUUGCUUUUAAAGCACAAUUGUUUAUUGUUUAUGUCCUUUCUAUUUUGAUGCUGCUUAAACAUAAUUCAACUGGCCUUUUGUCUUUCUUGGCUUGUUAUGGAUUUUUAUCUAAUACCUCUCCUACUAAUUACUGUCUACUUUGUUGGUAAAA